rnacentral:rRNA from 1 species
AUGUGCGAUAGAAAGCAUAUGCCUCGUGUGGGUUCCUCACCAUCACUGCCUCUAAUAAUCCUUGUCCUCUCCUCUCUUCUGACAUAUUCAAUAGUAGGUGCCACAACUCUCCACGGUGAUGCCAACACCGACUUCCAAGCCCUCCGUUGCCUUAAAAUCCAUCUCGCCACUUCUUCUGGGCUCCUAGCCUCAUGGAAGAUUGACGAUCCCCUCCACCAUUUCUGCACUUGGUCCGGUGUUACUUGCAGCAAGAGGCACACAUCUCGCGUUGUUGCACUCGACCUCGAGUUGCUCCACCUAGAUGGCCAAAUACCUCCUUGCAUUGCCAAUCUCACUCUCCUCACAAGAAUCCACCUACCAUCCAAUCAGCUUACGGGUCUGAUCCCUGCUGAACUUGGCCUAUUGAGUAGGUUGCAGUAUCUUAACCUCAGCUCAAACAACCUUGGUGGCAUGAUCCCAAACAACCUAUCCACAUGUUCUCAGCUUCGAGUCAUUGAUCUUGGGAGCAACUUCAUCAACGGUGAGAUCCCACCAAACCUAAGCCAAUGUUCAAAUAUACAGCAGCUGAACUUGGAUGACAACAAGCUCACUGGUGGCAUCCCAGAAGGGUUGGGAACACUCCCCAAUCUUUCUGUUUUGCGCCUUGCCGGAAAUACUCUUACUGGCAAUAUUCCCGUUUCACUUGGAAGCAGCUCUUCUCUCCACUCUGUCUAUCUCACCAACAAUAGCCUCACAGGACCUAUCCCCUCUCUCCUAGCUAAUAGUCCAUCACUUCAAUUGUUGGUCUUGACCAACAAUAACCUUGGUGGAGAGAUUCCACCUGCACUAUUUAACAGCACAUCACUCCAAGUUUUAUCCCUGGCAGUAAACAACUUUACCGGGUCCAUACCUGCUGUUUUCCCCAAUAUUGUUGACUCACCCUUGCAGUAUCUUAUCCUGACAUCAAACAAUCUUGCAGGCACAAUACCUUCUACUCUAGGGAAUUUUUCUUCCCUUUGUUGGCUCUUGCUUGGACAGAAUAGCUUUAAAGGUAGCAUCCCGUUGAGUAUUGGUAAGCUUUCCAACCUACAAGUACUAGACUUGAGUUACAACUUCUUGUCAGGGAGUAUCCCUGCCUCUGUUUACAACAUAUCAGCACUCACAUACCUUGCCAUGGGUGCGAAUAUUCUUGCAGGGGAAAUUCCAUAUAACAUUGGAUAUACCCUUCCAAGAAUCCAAACUUUGGAUAUGGGAAUGAAUAAAUUCCAUGGCCAAAUUCCCACUUCACUAGCCAAUACGACAUAUCUUCAAGAGAUUAAUCUCUCUAACAAUUCAUUCCAUGGUAUUGUGCCUUCUUUUGGAACUCUUCCCAACUUAAUUAGCCUGAAUCUUGGUGAGAAUCAUCUCGAAGCAGGAGAUUGGUCUUUCUUAACCUCUUUGACCAAUUGCACCCAACUGGUGAAAUUAUUCUUGGAUGCAAACAUCCUUCAAGGAUAUUUGCCGAGUUCCAUUGGAAGCCUUUCAGAGAGCUUAGAGGUAUUGUUAUUAAGAGAAAAUAAAAUAUCAGGCACGAUACCACAGGAGAUAGAGCACCUCACAAACAUCAAAACUCUUUACAUGGAAAAAAAUUUGCUUAGUGGAAGUAUCCCAGAAUCACUUGGAAAUCUUCAAAACUUGUUUGUCCUAAGCUUAUCCCAGAACAAACUUUCUGGACAAAUUCCGCUAUCAAUUGGCAAUCUAAGCCAAUUGAGUGAGCUAUAUUUACAGGAAAAUAAUUUGAGUGGCCCGAUCCCAGAAGCUCUAGGAGACUGCAAAAAAUUGGACAUACUGAACCUCUCUUGUAACAGCUUCGAUGGUAGCAUACCAAAGGAGCUCUUUACUCUUUCUUCCCUUGCAGAAGGUUUGGACUUAUCUCACAACAAACUCUCAGGAGAAAUACCGCCAGAGAUUGGUGGCUUGGUCAAUCUCGGCCCAUUGAAUAUUUCCAAUAACCAGUUGUCUGGACAAAUACCCUCAAGUCUAGGUGAGUGUGUCCACUUGGAGUCAUUGCACAUGGAGGGAAACCAUUUUCAUGGGAGAAUCCCUCAAUCUUUCAUGAAUUUGAGAGGCAUCAUUGUGAUGGAUCUAUCUCAGAACAACUUGUCCGGUAAAAUCCCUGAUUUCUUUGAGUCCUUUAGUUCCAUGAAGCUUCUCAAUUUAUCGUUCAACAACCUUGAGGGACCAGUACCACCAGGUGGAAUGUUUCAGAAUGAAAGUGAGGUGUUUGUACAAGGGAACAAGAAGUUAUGUGCGAGCCCAUUGCUAGAUUUGCCACUUUGUAAUGCAGUGAUAUCCAAACAAAAGUGGUACACCUCCAAGAUUCUAAAGAUAGUAACAAUUACUGCUCUUUCUUUGGUUCUGUUAUCAUGCUUUGGAGUCAUUAUUUGUAAAAAGAGAAAAAAAGUCAAACAAGCAGCACAUCCAUCUGCCAAGGAGUUAAAGAAGUUUACAUAUGCUGAUUUAGUGAAAGCAACAAAUGAUUUUUCUUUAGCCAAUUUAGUUGGUUCGGGAAAAUAUGGGUCUGUGUACAAAGGUAGAAUGGAGUCUGAAGAACAGCAUACAGUUGCUAUCAAAGUUUUCAAACUUGAUCAACUUGGAGCAACAAAGAGCUUCCUUGCUGAAUGUGAGGCACUGAGAAACACUCGUCAUCGUAAUCUUGUAAGGGUGAUCACUGUAUGCUCGACAUGUGACCUGGCAAGAAAUGAGUUCAAAGCUCUUGUUCUUGAAUUUAUGAUAAAUGGUGACCUAGAGAAUUGGCUCCAUCCAACACUACCCGACGAGCAUCAUCCAAAAAGGCCAUUGUGUUUGGGUUCAAGAAUAGUGAUAGCAGUGGACAUAGCUGCUGCUUUGGAUUACCUCCAUAACCAUUGCAUGCCGCCUAUGGUCCACUGUGAUCUGAAGCCUAGCAAUGUCCUGGAUGAUGUCAUGGGCGCAUGUGUUGGUGACUUCGGGUUGGCUAAGUUCCUACAUGGUUAUUCUUCUUCGAUGACAAUUGAUGGUUCUACAAGCUUAGUGGGGCCAAGAGGAUCGGUUGGAUACAUUGCACCAGAAUAUGGUUUGGGGAGCAAAAUCUCCACGGAGGGUGAUGUUUACAGCUAUGGAGUCAUCAUAUUAGAGAUGCUCACAGGGAAGCGUCCAACUGAUGAGAUAUUUAAAGAUGGCCUGAGCCUUUACACAUUUGUGGAAAUAUCAUUUCCGGGGAAGAUUUGUGAGAUUCUAGAUCCCAGAAUCAUCCCCUGCUGUGGGAACCUAGAUGAAGAAGAAGCAGUAAGUAUAUUGUUGAAUCAUCAAAUGGUCGGGGGAACAAUGAGCUGCAUCACCGCUCUCAUUAAGCUUGGCCUGCUAUGCGCUGCGGAGAUGCCUAAAGAUCGUCCAGCAAUGCAGGACGUUUACAUUGAAGUCACCGCAAUCAAAGAAGCAUUUUCAGCACUGCAGGGCUGA